GGGAGGGGCGAUGGUUUCGAGGUAGGGCUUCGGGGAGAGGAAGCGAGAGCCGUUUCCUGCCUUCAACAAGACCCUCCUCUGAGGCCUCCCCCACCAGUUGCCCAAUAGUGACACACCUCCGCUCCUCCCGCGGCUCCUAUUUCACCAGCUCCUGCAGUGACAGCUGGAGGGCCUAAGGGAUGAUGUUCUUGCUCCCCAGCCUGGUCUCCCACCCACCGCCCUCUCCCCAGAGAAUGGAUUUAUCCCUGACCACCCCCCCACCCCACCCCCCGGGGGCAGGAUCACUGAAGGGCUGGGGCUGGCUCUGAGAGACCCGCCAGGUGAGCGGGGUGCUGCUGACUCCUGGAGCUGCCCAGAGCUUGCCGAAAUGGCUCCAAGAUCUUCCCCUUGGGCCACCUGUAAAGAUCUCUUUGCUGCCUGAAAUCCACCUUCCCUCCUUCCCCUUACCUGUACCGGGGGACAUCACCUUUGGAGCUCAUGGGGAUAGCUGAUGGGGAGAGGUUGGGCAGGGCCAGGGCCCAGGUGGAAGCUGCCUGUGAGAAGAAUUUGAGCAAGGAUGUGUUUUCUCUUUAGGGUGUGUGGCCUGAUCCCCAGGAGGAGCUACCCGGGGUUGCCAUGAGAGAGACCUUGGAGGCCCUCAACUCCCUGGGAUUCUCUGUGGGACAGCCGGAGAUGGCCCCCCAAAGUGAGCCUGGGGAAGGGUCCCAUAAUGCCCAGAAGCAGAUGUGCCCUCCCAGGGAAGAGACAGCACUGGGCUCCUGUUCGGGGCACGAGACCCCCAGACUGGAGGAAGGCGCCCACCCUGAACAGGCUGAGGUUCCCUGCAGCAGAAGCCAGGCAUGCACACCUCAGAAGGCAGAGCCUGCUAGCUCCUGCCCAGGAGACGAGUGGGUGAUCCGAAAGGUGAAGGUGGAAGAAGAGGUCGAGUGGCCCCAGCACCUGUCCUUACUCCCCGGUCCCUUUCCCGCACCUGACCUGGGGCCUCUGACCGCCGCGUAUAAGCUGGAGCCGGGCACCCCAGCGGCCCUGGGUGGGCUCGCGCCCGGCGGGUGGACCCCGGCCUCCGAGAAGCCCUACGGCUGCGGGGAGUGCGAGCGGCGGUUCCGGGACCAGCUGACCCUGCGGCUGCAUCAGCGGCUGCACCGCGGCGAGGGCCCCUGCGCCUGCCCGGACUGCGGCCGGAGCUUCACGCAGCGCGCGCACAUGCUCCUGCACCAGCGCAGCCACCGCGGCGAGCGGCCCUUCCCGUGCUCCGAGUGCGACAAGCGCUUCAGCAAGAAGGCGCACCUGACCCGCCACCUGCGCACGCACACGGGCGAGCGCCCCUACCCGUGCGCCGAGUGCGGCAAGCGCUUCAGCCAGAAGAUCCACCUGGGCUCGCACCAGAAGACGCACACGGGCGAGCGGCCCUUCCCCUGCCCCGAGUGCGAGAAGCGCUUUCGCAAAAAGACGCACCUGAUCCGCCACCAGCGCAUCCACACGGGCGAGAGGCCUUACCAGUGCGCGCAGUGCGCACGCAGCUUCACGCACAAGCAGCACUUGGUGCGGCACCAAAGGGUGCACGAGGCGGCCUGCCGCGCCCCGCUGUCUCCCGACGCGUCCGCCUCUCCGGGCUCCCCGGGCCCGUCCCCGGCCCCGUCCCCUCCCGGACCUAAGCCUUUCGCUUGCGCCGACUGCGGACUGAGUUUCGGCUGGAAGAAGAACCUCGCCACGCACCAGCGUCUGCACAGCGGCGAGGGGCGCCCCUUUGGAUGCGACGAGUGUGCACUGGACCCCGCUGCCGCCGAGCCCCUUGCGUGCCCGCACCGAAGCGCACAGGCGCCCCAGGGCGCUCCGGCCAGCGAGCGUUCCUUCUUCUGCCCGGACUGCGGACGCGGCUUUGCCCACGGGCAGCACCUGGCCCGGCAUCGGCGGGUGCACACGGGCGAAAGGCCCUUCGCCUGCGCGCAGUGUGGCCGGCGCUUCGGCUCGCGGCCUAACCUGGUCGCCCAUUCUCGGGCCCACAGCGGCGCCAGGCCUUUCGCUUGCGCGCAGUGCGGCCGCCGCUUCAGCCGCAAGUCGCACCUGGGCCGCCACCAGGCUGUGCACACGGGCAGUCGGCCCCACGCUUGUGCCGUCUGCGCCCGAAGCUUCAGCUCCAAAACCAACCUUGUGCGCCAUCAGGGCAUCCACACGGGCUCUCGCCCCUUCUCCUGCCCGCAGUGCGGCAAGAGCUUCAGCCGCAAGACUCACCUCGUGCGGCACCAGCGCAUCCACGGCGAAGCGGCCCACCUGGCCUCGGACCCUGACCUCCCGGCCCCAGCCUGGCCCGCGACCGCGGAGGUGGCAGCGCCCCCACUCUUCUUCUGAGCCUCCUUGCCGUCCAGACCCUUCCUCUGCCUUCUGUUGCUGCCUGGCUGGAGAGACCCAGGUCCAAGCGGAAUUAACAACAAAAAAUGUGGACUUCCAGCUUCUCUUGUGAAUAGUGUUGUGAAUAGGCUGGGGCUGAGCAGCAGUUGGUCUUGUUAGACUAAGGGGAAUCGUGGUGGAGGUACCAGUUUUCAACUUGGCUACUGAAAUGGACUUUGUCAAAUGGAAUGUGAAAAUUGAGGAAGGAAAAAUACAUGGGCUCAGGGGCCUGUCCUCUCCCUAUCCCACCCGUUAAGGUGAACUUCUGUUACCUGGUGAAGGUGCAUGAGCCCACCUGCGGCUCCCGGCACAGCAGUGACUCUGCAUCAACUCCGAAUGAGAUAAAUACGAGAUUGCCGCUUGCAGGUUGAUGCAGGAGAAGCUCUUUGUGGGUUGGUGCACAGAUACACUACACAUCUGCCCUCACUCAGAGCUUACAAGCAGUGUUGCAGGGUUCACUAUACGGCCAACUUUUGUGACUGUCCUGCGUAUACUUGAAAAGAACAUAUAUCCUGCAGUCCUGUGGUGCAGUGUCCUAUAUAUUCAUCCAUCGAGCCAAUUUUGUUAAUUGAUUUGUUCAAAUCUUCUGUAUCCUUCCUGAUUUUUUAUUCUAUCAACUUCUGGAAAAGGCAUGCCCAAACCUCCCAAAUGUGAUCAUAUAUUUGGAUGCUUUUAGUUCUUUUAAUGUUGAGGCCAGCAGAGGGAAAAGGGAAUGUAUAAAAAC